rnacentral:rRNA from 1 species
AUUGAACGCUUGCGGCCGGCCUAACACAUGCAAGUCGAGCGGAGCGGCGGACGGGUGAGUAAUGCCUAGUAAUCUGCUUGGUAGUGGGGGAUAACGUCUGGAAACGGGCGCUAAUACCGCAUACUAUCAGAUGAGCCGCGGUCGGAGUAGCUAGUGGGUGGGGUAAAGGCCUACCAAGGCGACUAUCCGUAACUGGGCUUAGAGGAUGAUCAGUCCCACUGGAACUGAGACACGGCCCAGACUCCUACGGGAGGCAGCAGUAGGGAAUAUUGGACAAUGGGCGAAAGCCUGAUCGAGCCAUGCCGCGUGUGUGAAGAAGGUCUUCGGAUUGUAAAGCACUGUAAGUGGGGAGGCGUUAACAAAAGAAUAAGCACCGGCUAACUUCGUGCCAGCAGCCGCGGUAAUAC